UGGAUCUGCCCUGUAUAUGGGGCAGCUGGUUUCAAGACUUAGAGAAAUGUCUACAGACUCUCUCAUACCAGAAUGAUGGAACCCAAACAGGGAAAUUGGCCAGAAGCAGCAGUGGCUUCAGGCUUGGUGAAGUGGACCAAAGUGUGAAGAAGUUCUUCCAAACAAUGUGGCCAUUUCUUCUCAGACGUCGGACAUACUAUAUCUGUUACCUGGUUUCCCAUCCAUCCACUUCCUGCGUGUCCAGAAUUCU